UAGAAUUAUUUUUAUUAAAAAAUGGGAAAGUAUUGUGCCGUUUAUGGUUGCCUUAGUGGCCGAAAGGCAAGUGAGAAUUUAGGAAAAGUGGCUUUAUUCAAAGCACCAAAAAGCUGUCAAUAGCAACAAGACUUCCCGCGUAAGUAUUUAAACGAGUACUCUGU